CCGCGCUCCGGCUGCUCCUAAUUCAGUGGGCAUUUCAACCAGACCCUGAAGGGACUCAACCUAGAAGGAUAAUUGCUUUACAAUAUUGUGCUGGUUUCUGCCGAACAUCAACAUGAAACAGUCACAGAUGAAGUUGGUGAUCCCACCAUCCCCAAGGUAGAAGCCAGGAGGAGUGUCCUGAGAUUCUCCCCUCCUCCACCCAGCAGACCUGGUCUAUUGAUUACAUCUCCACCACACCCUCAGUUUCACCCUCUUUAUUCAUUCCCACUGCUUUCCUUAGUUCAAGCCUUUCUUACUUCUUUCCCAGAGCUUAGCAAAAUGCUUUAUUUGUGAUAGGUAUAUUAGUCUGCGU